rnacentral:rRNA from 1 species
AUUGAACGCUGGCGGAAUGCUUUACACAUGCAAGUCGAACGGCAGCACGGGGGCAACCCUGGUGGCGAGUGGCGAACGGGUGAGUAAUACAUCGGAACGUGCCCAGUCGUGGGGGACAACGUAGCGAAAGUUACGCUAAUACCGCAUACGAUCUGUGGAUGAAAGCGGGGGACCGUAAGGCCUCGCGCGAUUGGAGCGGCCGAUGUCAGAUUAGGUAGUUGGUGGGGUAAAGGCCCACCAAGCCGACGAUCUGUAGCUGGUCUGAGAGGACGACCAGCCACACUGGGACUGAGACACGGCCCAGACUCCUACGGGAGGCAGCAGUGGGGAAUUUUGGACAAUGGGCGCAAGCCUGAUCCAGCCAUUCCGCGUGCAGGACGAAGGCCUUCGGGUUGUAAACUGCUUUUGUACGGAACGAAACGGCGAGCUCUAAUACAGUUUGCUAAUGACGGUACCGUAAGAAUAAGCACCGGCUAACUACGUGCCAGCCGCCGCAGUAA